GCAAUUGUCAGAGGUGACGUUGUUUGCUGACACUAUUACAGUUCAACAAUUGGGAGUGAUGAUUUGGCAUACCAGAAAGGUCCUUUAGAGAGCUGAUCAUUCUUCCAAUCGAUUGCAAGCAGAUCAUUCCACUUAUUCUGCAGGUAUGUAAACUAGAUUAGACUGUUAUGUAUUUUAA